GAUGAACGCUGGCGGCGUGCCUAAUACAUGCAAGUCGAGCGAACAGACGAGGAGCUUGCUCCUCUGACGUUAGCGGCGGACGGGUGAGUAACACGUGGAUAACCUACCUAUAAGACUGGGAUAACUUCGGGAAACCGGAGCUAAUACCGGAUAAUAUAUUGAACCGCAUGGUUCAAUAGUGAAAGACGGUUUUGCUGUCACUUAUAGAUGGAUCCGCGCCGCAUUAGCUAGUUGGUAAGGUAACGGCUUACCAAGGCAACGAUGCUUAGCCGACCUGAGAGGGUGAUCGCCCACACUGGAACUGAUACACGGUCCAGACUCCUACGGGAGGCAGCAGUAGGGAAUCUUCCGCAAUGGGCGAAAGCCUGACGGAGCAACGCCGCGUGAGUGAUGAAGGUCUUCGGAUCGUAAAACUCUGUUAUUAGGGAAGAACAAAUGUGUAAGUAACUAUGCACGUCUUGACGGUACCUAAUCAGAAAGCCACGGCUAACUACGUG
rnacentral:rRNA from 1 species